AGAACAACUCUCAGCAACGGAUAUCUUGGCUCUUGCAACGAUGAAGAACGCAGCGAAAUGCGAUACGUAUUGUGAAUUGCAGAAUUCCGCGAAUCAUCGAGUCUUUGAACGCAAGUUGCGCCCGAGGCUUGUCCGAGGGCAUUUCCGCUAGAGCGUCACC
rnacentral:rRNA from 1 species